AAAGUGCUGGGAUUACAUACAGGCAUGAGCCACCACACCCAAUCUUUUUUUUUUGAACCAGUGUCUUGCUCUGUCACCAGGCUGGAGUGCAGUGGUGUGAUUACAGCGCACUGCAGCCUCGACCUCCUGGGCUCAAGCAGUCCUUCCAUCUUGACCUCGAGUAGCUGGGACUACAGACGUGAGCCACCACACCUAAUUUCGUUGUUGUUGUUGGUAGAGACAGGAUCUUGCUUUGUUGGCCAGGCUGGUCUCUAACUGUUGGCCUCAAGUGAUCCACUCACCUCAGCCUCCCAAAGUGCUGGGAUUACAGGCGUGAGCCACUGUGCCCGACUUUAUUUUUACUUUUAUCUGAGUCUUCUUGCUAGGGAAGAUUUUUUUUAAAAAAUCAGACUCAAAUAAUACAACUAUAAGGGGAAAAAUGAUAAAAAGCAUUAAAAUAAACAACUUCUGUUCAUCAAAAGACAUAAAUAGGAGAGUGAAAGGCAAUCUCCUGAGGGAGAAAAUGUUUAAAAAUAUACAUCCAAUAAAUGUCUUAUAUCACAAACAUUUCAAGGACUCAAUGGAACUAGUAAGAAAAAGACAAUUAGAAAAAUGAGUAGAAGAAUUGAACAGGCACUUCACAAAAAGAAUAUUCAAAUGAGCAACAGAUAUAAAAACAGUUCAUUAGUCAUCAGAGAAAUGCAAACUAACACCUCAGUGCAUCACUGCUGGGCACUCAGCCAAAUGGCUACAGUGAAAAAGACUAUCAAGUAGUGGGAAGAAUAUGCAGGAAUGGGAACCUGCGCACUGCUGGUGGGCAUGUAAACUGUACAAUUACUUCAGAGAACUGUUUGACACCAUAGACUAAAAAUGAACAUACAUCAGCAAUUUCAGUCCUAGGAAUACACUCAAACAGCAGUGCUUACAGAUUUUUUUUUUUUUAAUGUAGUCCCACUCUGUUGCCCAAGUUGGAGUGCAAUGGCGUAAUCUCGGCUCACUGCCAACAUCCAACUCCCAGGUUCAAGUGAUUCUCUGGCCUCAGCCUCUCAAGUAGCUGGGACUAUCGGUGACCACCAUGCCCAGCUAAGUUUUGUAUUUUUAGUAGAGAUGGGGUUUCACCAUGUUGGCCAGGCUGGUCUGCCCACCCCAGCCUCCCAAAGUGCUGGGAUUACAGGCGUGAGCCACUGCACCCGGCCUGCUUACAGCUGUUUACCAAAAUAUGUACAGGAACCUGUCUGUAGCAGCAAGAUACAAAAUGACCCCAUGGUAGGAACUGUCCAUCAACCCGUGUCCAGUAGAAUGGAUAAACAAAUUGUGGUCUAGCCAUACAGUGGAAUGUUAACACACCAACAAGAAUAAAUUACUGCUAACAAAACAUGAGUGAAUAUCACACAACAUAUUGAGUGUAAGAUGUCAGACACAUACGAGUAUAGAUGUAUGAUUCUGUGGAUGGUAAAUCCAAAACAGGCAAACCUAUUUUAUGGUGUUGGAAGCCAGGAAUGUGUAGUCAUGUUUUAUUUAUUGCUCUGAAUCAGGAAAUGUUCAUGUUAUGGAAAACGGUUGAGCUGUACACUUAUGAUUUAUGCGCUUACAUAUCACCUCCUUUAAGUCUAAAAAAUAACUAGACGUGGUUCCCUCUGAGUCAUUCCUGACCUGGAGUCCCCUAAGUUUUGUGUUUCAACGGGAGUUCCCCGCACUCCCCCUCUCGGUCGCACUUCUAGGAUGUGCUGUGAUUCUAAUGGACCUGUCUCCCUGGGGACCAGAGGACUGGCUCCGUCUGGUCCACCGCGGUCACCCUAGUCGUUGGCACAGUGGCUGCCCAGCCUGUAGUAGCUGCCUGUUAAAUGACUGUGGUGUAAUGCCUCAAUAGGUCCCUAACCCCAACUAGUUAGGCACUUGCUGAAUCACUGCCACAAUGACAAGCCGAAGAGUAGAGGCAGAGGCUGUGACCGGAGCAGAGAAGAAUGUGAGCACAAACAGUAUCCACCAAGCACUGACCGCCAGGCUCUUCCAGCGAGGCAAGCCAAAGGGGAGCCGCCCGCGCGAGCUUCUUUGCGACAGAAAAGGCAGUGAGCCCACAUGGGCGUUAUGAACAGCGCCGCGGGACGCUGCAGAGCCGCUGCAGACAGCGUGGUGUAGGCAAGAUGCUGUGAAGUCCUGCGUGGAAGAGAUGGAGAUGCGUUCGCCUCCCACUUCUUAGAGCUCUUAAGAUGUUGGUGAGCGCUGUGAAGCACCUACUGGAGAAGGGAACAGGGAGCAUUCCCCACAAUUGUUUCACUCUACGAGAAAUGUGAAUGUCUUCCUGGGCUUCUUGCUCCCGGGCAUGCCAGUUUGGGAAACACUAUCCUAAAACGCGUUUGAAAUGCUGGAGAGUGGAGGUAGUUAAAUUAGGCCAUCUAAGAUUCAUGAUCUCCCCUCCAAUCCGAUUUCCUCCUUUUCUCACCAGCCCGCCAAAUCGGAUGAGCUGCCUGUCCUGGGAGGGCUCUGGAGUCAACUGCCUGGGUUCACAACCAGCGCUCAUCACUUACUAGUUGUGUGGCCUUGGUGAAGUCACCAGACCUUUCUAGCCUUGCUUUCCUCAUCAAAUUAUGGUGUCUGCUUGCUGGUCUUCUUGCAAAGAUUAGAUGAGUCUACAUAAAGUAGAUCAGAUACCUGGCCCUCCACCCAAGUGCCCAGUUUGCUUUGACUCUACCAAGUACACCUCCAACCAGGGCCUUCCAUUUGCCCAACUCUGCUCUGCAAAAAGCUCUCCUUCUAGCAAGGCCUAUUUUGUUGUUGUUGUUGUUUGUUUCCAUUUCCUUUUUUUUCACAUCACGCUGGUAAGCCAACGCAUGACACAGUUUAAGGGAGGCACGUUUCACGCAUGUACGUGAGCACCCAGUCAUCAUGCUUAUGAACUACAAAGGGAUCAAGGCCCAUUUUUGCCUUAUUCAGGAAAGCUUUGCCUCCCCCAGCCCUGCCCACCUCCUUCCCUCAACGGCUACAGUGCUUUUCAUUGUAAAUAGUCUGUGCUCUGGCUGCUUAGCUCCCACUUUAGACUAAAAGUUCCUCAGAGCCAGGGAUGGUUCUUCAGGCUCUAGCUGGAGCAGAGGGACACUUGAGGGACACUCAGAUAAACAGGCCUUGACUGUGCCAAGUAGGGGCCAAGCGUUGGGACAGGUGGGUAUCAGACAGGGAUGAAGAAGGCUUGGUCCUGGCUCUGCACAGUUCAGUGGGGAAGACAGAUGCACGGAGGCAGUGGUGAGGGCUUGCCCACUGCUUGAAGUAGAGCCCUGUGGGAGGACAGGGAGUCCUCAGCGCUUCUUAAUAAACAUAGUACUUGCUGUCUGGAAGGGAGCAGCUUCUGGGCGAGGAACACUUGAAAGCCUUUUCCCUUUCUCCCUGGGAUUGGGAUGUCUGUGCUGAAGGGAGGGGCAGCUACUGCCUGGCACCUAGGGGAACCUCACAGGAUCAACCCGGAUGUUGGCUUGUCCCUCCCCCAUAUCCCUGGCUAGUUCCUUCCUGUCUUUCAUCACUGCCUUCUUCCUCUUCUGCCUUCUGCCUGGCCCCUCACCCCAACCACAGGGGCACAUCUCCUCCCCUGCCAUUAGUAAGGCCCACCUCCAACAUUUCUUCCCUCCCUUUCAUCCUUCCCCACAAAGGCCUCCUUAGCUUCCAUGACACUACUCUCCUGGCUUUUCUCCCGUCUCUGUGGGCACCUCUUCAGCGUCCUCUUCUUUGGUUUGUCUCUUAAAUGCCAGUGGGGUCCCUUCGGCUUCCCUCCUUGGCCCCCUACUCCACCCUCCGGGGUGAUGCCAUGCUGUUCCAUGAUGUCCACAUCUCUAUCUACAGCACACAUCAUCUCCCAAGGACCAUGCCCAUCAGCCCAAACCCCCGUUUGAGGGAUGCCCUUACAGGUACCCCUCAUUCAUCGCAUCCCAGACUGCACCAUUCACUGUUCCUCACUCUGCUCCUCCCUGGUGCUCCUCAUCUCUGGGAGGGGCAGUACCUCCAUCCAGAAACCUAGCCAUCUGAUUUGCCCCACUUGUUACUGGCAUCACUCUGGGAUCCAUCUGAUUCUUGCCGUGAUGGUUCAGGUACCCAGUGUCUCUGCCAUGUGGCCUGCUUGCCGCCUGCCUUGACAUCCUCAUCUGCUCUCUACAAGGUCAUCCAGGUAACUCUUCUCAAAGGAAAAUCUGAUCCUGUUGCUCCCGUUUAAAACCCCUCAGUGGCUCCCUGCCCACAGGAUAAAAAUCCAAGCUCCUGGCCGGGCAUAGUGGCUCAUGCCUGUAAUCCAAGCACUUUGGAGGCCAAGGUGGGUGGAUCACCUGAGGUUGGGAGUUCAAGACCAGCCUGACCAACAUGGUGAAACCUCGUCUUUAAAAAUAAAAACAAACAAAUAAAUAAAUAAAUAAAAUCCAA